UACGUAGGGUGCAAGCGUUGUCCGGAAUUAUUGGGCGUAAAGAGCGUGUAGGCGGUUAGGUAGGUCCGUUGUGAAAACUCGAGGCUCAACCUCGAGACGCCGAUGGAAACCAUCUGACUAGAGUCCGGAAGAGGAGAGUGGAAUUCCUGGUGUAGCGGUGAAAUGCGCAGAUAUCAGGAAGAACACCCGUGGCGAAGGCGGCUCUCUGGGACGGUACUGACGCUGAGACGCGAAAGCGUGGGGAGCGAACAGG
rnacentral:rRNA from 1 species